rnacentral:rRNA from 2 species
UUAAAUUGAAGAGUUUGAUCAUGGCUCAGAUUGAACGCUGGCGGCAGGCCUAACACAUGCAAGUCGAACGGUAACAGGAAGCAGCUUGCUGUUUCGCUGACGAGUGGCGGACGGGUGAGUAAU